CUACGGGCGGCUGCAGUGAGGAAUAUUGCGCAAUGGGGGCAACCCUGACGCAGCAACGCCGCGUGGAUGAUGAAGGCCUUCGGGUUGUAAAAUCCUUUUCUGGGGGACGAUAAUGACGGUACCUCAGGAAUAAGUCCCGGCUAACUACGUGCCAGCAGCCGCGGUAAAACGUAGGGGGCAAGCGUUAUCCGGAUUUACUGGGCGUAAAGCGCGCGUAGGCGGUGUCGUAAGUUGGAUGUGAAAGCUCCUGGCUUAACUGGGAGAGGUCGUUCAAAACUGCGGUGCUUGAGGAUAGAAGAGGAGAGUAGAAUUCCCGGUGUAGUGGUGGAAUGCGUAGAUAUCGGGAGGAAUACCAGUGGCGAAGGCGACUCUCUGGUCUAUACCUGACGCUGAGGUGCGAAAGCGUGGGGAGCGAACGGGAUUAGAUACCCGAGUAGUC
rnacentral:rRNA from 1 species